rnacentral:rRNA from 1 species
CCAGCAGCUGCGGUAAUUCCAGCUCUAAUAGCGUAUAUUAAAGUUGUUGCAGUUAAAAAGCUCGUAGUCGGAAGUCGGGCUCGGGCAGGCUGUCGGCCUCGGUUGGGCAGCUUGCUUGGGUCUUCUAGCUCGGGGGCCCCGUGCCAUUUAACCGUGGUGCGCGGGAACACGGGCCGUUUACUUUGAAAAAAUUAGAGUGUUCAAAGCAGGCCUACGCUUGAAUACAUUAGCAUGGAAUAAUGGAAUAGGACUUUGGUGCUAUUUCGUUGGUUAAUGGGACCGAAGUAAUGAUUAAAAGGGACAGUUGGGGGCAUUGGUAUUCAGUAGUCAGAGGUGAAAUUCUUGGAUUUACUGAAGACUAACUAGUGCGAAAGCAUUUGCCAAGGAUGUUUUCAUUGAUCAAGAACGAAAGU